rnacentral:misc_RNA from 1 species
UUUCCGUAGGUGAACCUGCGGAAGGAUCAUUACAGAGUUCAUGCCCUCACGGGUAGAUCUCCCACCCUUGAAUAUUUAUACCUUAGUUGCUUUGGCAGGCCGUGGAAACACCAUGGGCUCCGGCUUAUGCGUGCCUGCCAGAGGAAACAAACUCUGUUUUUAAUGAUGUCUGAGUACUAUAUAAUAGUUAAAACUUUCGACAACGGAUCUCUUGGUUCUG